GAAGAACGCCUGUCGGUUAAUACCCGGUAGGAAAGACAUCACUCGCAGAAGAAGCACCGGCUAACUCCGUGCCAGCAGCCGCGGUAAUACGGAGGGUGCAAGCGUUAAUCGGAAUUACUGGGCGUAAAGCGCGCGUAGGUGGCUUGAUAAGCCGGUUGUGAAAGCCCCGGGCUCAACCUGGGAACGGCAUCCGGAACUGUCAGGCUAGAGUGCAGGAGAGGAAGGUAGAAUUCCCGGUGUAGCGGUGAAAUGCGUAGAGAUCGGGAGGAAUACCAGUGGCGAAGGCGGCCUUCUGGACUGACACUGACACUGAGGUGCGAAAGCGUGGGUAGCAAACAGGAUUAGAUACCCUGGUAGUCCACGCCGUAAACGAUGUCGACCAGCCGUUGGGUGCCUAGAGCACUUUGUGGCGAAGUUAACGCGAUAAGUCGACCGCCUGGGGAGUACGGCCGCAAGGUUAAAACUCA
rnacentral:rRNA from 1 species